AGAGUUUGAUUAUGGCUCAGGAUGAACGCUAGCGACAGGCUUAACACAUGCAAGUCGAGGGGCAGCAUAAAAGUAGCAAUACUUGGUGGCGACCGGCGCACGGGUGAGUAACGCGUAUGCAACCUACCUAUCAGAGGGGAAUAACCCGGCGAAAGUCGGACUAAUACCGCAUAAAACAGGGACACCGCAUGGUGAUAUUUGUUAAAGAAAUUCGCUGAUAGAUGGGCAUGCGUUCCAUUAGGUAGUUGGUGAGGUAACGGCUCACCAAGCCGACGAUGGAUAGGGGAACUGAGAGGUUGGUCCCCCACACUGGUACUGAGACACGGACCAGACUCCUACGGGAGGCAGCAGUGAGGAAUAUUGGUCAAUGGGCGAGAGCCUGAACCAGCCAAGUCGCGUGAAAGGAAGAAGGAUCUAUGGUUCGUAAACUUCUUUUGCAGGGGAAUAAAGUGCAGGACGUGUCCUGUUUUGUAUGUACCCUGAGAAUAAGGAUCGGCUAACUCCGUGCCAGCAGCCGC
rnacentral:rRNA from 1 species